AGCGUACCAUGCAAGUCGAACGAUGAUGCCCAGCUUGCUGGGCGGAUUAGUGGCGAACGGGUGAGUAAUACGUGAGUAACCUGCCCUUGACUCUGGGAUAAGCCUGGGAAACUGGGUCUAAUACUGGAUACUACCUCUUACCGCAUGGUGGGUGGUGGAAAGGGUUUUACUGGUUUUGGAUGGGCUCACGGCCUAUCAGCUUGUUGGUGGGGUAAUGGCUCACCAAGGCGACGACGGGUAGCCGGCCUGAGAGGGUGACCGGCCACACUGGGACUGAGACACGGCCCAGACUCCUACGGGAGGCAGCAGUGGGGAAUAUUGCACAAUGGGCGGAAGCCUGAUGCAGCGACGCCGCGUGAGGGAUGACGGCCUUCGGGUUGUAAACCUCUUUCAGUAGGGAAGAAGCGAGAGUGACGGUACCUGCAGAAGAAGCGCCGGCUAACUACGUGCCAGCAGCCGCGGUAAUACGUAGGGCGCAAGCGUUGUCCGGAAUUAUUGGGCGUAAAGAGCUCGUAGGCGGUUUGUCGCGUCUGCUGUGAAAGCCCGGGGCUCAACCCCGGGUCUGCAGUGGGUACGGGCAGACUAGAGUGCAGUAGGGGAGACUGGAAUUCCUGGUGUAGCGGUGAAAUGCGCAGAUAUCAGGAGGAACACCGAUGGCGAAGGCAGGUCUCUGGGCUGUUACUGACGCUGAGGAGCGAAAGCAUGGGGAGCGAACAGGAUUAGAUACCCUGGUAGUCCAUGCCGUAAACGUUGGGCACUAGGUGUGGGGGACAUUCCACGUUUUCCGCGCCGUAGCUAACGCAUUAAGUGCCCCGCCUGGGGAGUACGGCCGCAAGGCUAAAACUCAAAGGAAUUGACGGGGGCCCGCACAAGCGGCGGAGCAUGCGGAUUAAUUCGAUGCAACGCGAAGAACCUUACCAAGGCUUGACAUUCACCGGACCGCCCCAGAGAUGGGGUUUCCCUUCGGGGCUGGUGGACAGGUGGUGCAUGGUUGUCGUCAGCUCGUGUCGUGAGAUGUUGGGUUAAGUCCCGCAACGAGCGCAACCCUCGUUCUAUGUUGCCAGCACGUGAUGGUGGGGACUCAUAGGAGACUGCCGGGGUCAACUCGGAGGAAGGUGGGGAUGACGUCAAAUCAUCAUGCCCCUUAUG
rnacentral:rRNA from 1 species